UGUCUGCAUUGAAUGAAUUGUUAUUU
rnacentral:piRNA from 1 species